rnacentral:lncRNA from 1 species
ACCCUUCAAUGCGCUUGGCACGUUUUCUUUCCGGACACAUCCAGUGGAUACUGUGCAGACCUUCUCCAGCUAAUCUCAGGAAGGCUGAAGUUUUUAGACGGCUACCCUUCAUAUUUAGGGAGAGAAUAUAACCAUGUGGAAAGUCUAGUCUUCAUGUGGAACAUCUGUUACGAAGAAAUUCUACUUGGAAAGCUUGUCUGCUCUAUUAACCCAUCCCUGUUGCUCACUUGGAAGAAGAGGGCCUUCACUUUCCACUGUAAGAAGAAGGUCUUCUGUUGCUCUGAACGCUUCUGUUUAGAGACCUUUCUUCACUGUCCCCAAGGGUCUCCACUCCUUUGAUGAAGAGCUUCAGAUAACCAAAGGUCGCUGAGAGAGGGAGACAGCCAGCAUUCUCUGGGAAAGAUCCCCCAGAGAAGGUAUCCAGUCCUGAGUGAUCAUCCCUAAACACAUGUACAAAUGUGAAACUCUAAACAAACUCAGAAGGAGAAUGUUCUCCCUGCCAAGGUUAAUGACUCCAUGAUAAUCAGAAACAGCAUGAUUCCAGGAAGUGAGAAUGUCUCUUUGUUCCUCUGCAAAAUGGUAAUGCUAUGAUCUUCAGGAUAGCCCUUAAGGCUGUGGGAAAGAAUUCUGAAAACAUGAGUUCAAGAAUCUAUAAAUCAGUGUAAGAACUGUUCUUUACAGGAUUUCUCAACUAUGUAAAAUAUAAGGAAGCAAUAUGAGUUGUAUGAGGGGCUUCAUGGACCUGAAAGAACAGAGGAUGUAGCAAUAAAUUGUUUAAAACUCUA